AACAGCCAGCUCACCGCCAACUAUUGUUUCUAUUGUGUCAUAGAUGUUGAGAUGGCCAAGGACAAAAUCAAAGCAGUACCUGUAAAGAAAGAAGCUGAAGUGGCCAAAAAAGAGAUCAAACCAGCACCAUCUAAGAAAGAGCCCGAAGUUACAAAAGAAAAGGCCAAACCAGCUCGUUCAAAGAAAGGUAUCAUAAUGCAUAUUUAAAGUCUCUCAUGCCGAUGCUCCCAUUUUAGAUGCUUUAUUUCGUUUAGAAAUAAAUCACAUCCUGCAAAGAAAGUUACUUUCCUGUCUGAAGUAUUCACUUUUUUUUGUUUUUUUUUUUAGAAAAAGCUGAUGUUAUCAAAGAAAAGGCAAAACCAGCUCCAAAAGAAAAGGGUAUGCUUGUGCUGUUAAAAUAAAAAUCAAGUUUAUCAUACAAAGUUGUGUUUGUAUCAGAGAUAACAUAUUUUGUCUUUUAGUUGCUGAGGUUGUCAAGAAAAAAGCUAAGCCAGUAAAGAAAGGUACUUUGUAUUGUAUGUAUUACUAUUUAUGAAGCUUUGCGUAAGUUAACAGAUUAUAUGAACAGUUUGUUUCAAAUGUUUACAGAACCUGAGGUUAUUAAAGAAAAGGUCCAGCCUGCACCUUCAAAGAAAGGUACAAAGCUUGCAUGUUCAUCUGUAAACAUAUUAUGGCUGAAAUAUGUGUCCUUUAAGGGUUAGAGAUCCCUUUCUCAAUAACUUUGGGGUUGAUGAUCACACUGUAACUUUCCUCACCUUACACAUGCUUAUUCAGUUUUAAAAUCCAUAUGGG
rnacentral:lncRNA from 1 species